GGCCCUGUAGCUCAGGUGGACAGAGCGGACCGGUCCUAACGGUAGGGUCGGGAGUUCGAAUCUCUCCGGGGCCACCA
rnacentral:tRNA from 1 species